GAUGAACGCUAGCGGCAGGCUUAAUACAUGCAAGUCGAGGGGCAGCAGGACUGUAGCAAUACAGUUGCUGGCGACCGGCAAACGGGUGCGGAACACGUACGCAACCUACCCAAAACUGGGGGAUAGCCCGGGGAAACCCGGAUUAAUACCUCGUAACCUUUUUAAGUGGCAUCACUUGAUAAGUAUAGCUCCGGCGUUUUUGGAUGGGCGUGCGCCUGAUUAGGUAGUUGGUGCGGGUAACGGCCCACCAAGCCUGCGAUCAGUAACUGGUGUGAGAGCACGACCAGUCACACGGGCACUGAGACACGGGCCCGACUCCUACGGGAGGCAGCAGUAAGGAAUAUUGGUCAAUGGACGCAAGUCUGAACCAGCCAUGCCGCGUGAAGGAUGAAGGUCCUCUGGAUUGUAAACUUCUUUUAUGGGGGACGAAACCCGGAUAUUCUUAUCCGAUUGACGGUACCUCAGGAAUAAGCACCGGCUAACUCCGUG
rnacentral:rRNA from 1 species